rnacentral:rRNA from 1 species
AGGGAAUAGAUACCCGGGUAGUCCACGCCCUAAACGAUGUCAACUAGUUGUUGGGGGAGUAAAAUCCCUUAGUAACGCAGCUAAACGCGUGAAAGUUGACCGCCUGGGGAGUACGGUCGCAAGAUUAAAACUCAAAGGAAUUGACGGGGCCCGCACAAGCGGUGGAUUAUGUGGAUUAAUUCGAUGCAACGCGAAAACCUUACCUGGCCUUGACAUGCCACUAACGAAGCAGAGAUGCAUUAGGUGCCCGAAAGGGAAAGUGGACACAGGUGCUGCAUGGCUGUCGUCAGCUCGUGUCGUGAGAUGUUGGGUUAAGUCCCGCAACGAGCGCAACCCUUGCCAAUAAUUGCCAUCAUUCAGUUGGGCACUUUAUUGGGACUGCCGGUGACAAACCGGAGGAAGGUGGGGAUGACGUCAAGUCCUCAUGGCCCUUAUGGCCAGGGCUUCACACGUAAUACAAUGGUCGGUACAGAGGGUUGCCAACCCGCGAGGGGUAGCCAAUCCCAGAAAGCCGAUCGUAGUCCGGAUUGUAGUCUGCAACUCGACUAC